rnacentral:rRNA from 1 species
GCUGGCGGCGUGCCUAAUACAUGCAAGUCGAGCGAACUGAUUAGAAGCUUGCUUCUAUGACGUUAGCGGCGGACGGGUGAGUAACACGUGGGCAACCUGCCUGUAAGACUGGGAUAACUUCGGGAAACCGAAGCUAAUACCGGAUAGGAUCUUCUCCUUCAUGGGAGAUGAUUGAAAGAUGGUUUCGGCUAUCACUUACAGAUGGGCCCGCGGUGCAUUAGCUAGUUGGUGAGGUAACGGCUCACCAAGGCAACGAUGCAUAGCCGACCUGAGAGGGUGAUCGGCCACACUGGGACUGAGACACGGCCCAGACUCCUACGGGAGGCAGCAGUAGGGAAUCUUCCGCAAUGGACGAAAGUCUGACGGAGCAACGCCGCGUGAGUGAUGAAGGCUUUCGGGUCGUAAAACUCUGUUGUUAGGGAAGAACAAGUACGAGAGUAACUGCUCGUACCUUGACGGUACCUAACCAGAAAGCCACGG